ensembl:lncRNA
GCCCUGGAAAGAGACGGCGUCCUGCAGAGUGUUUAUUUUCUCUCUGUGGCCCUUGCCUUCCUUUGAAUUUUGAGCACUUGGAUACUCCUGUCCACACUUCCUGCUACUACCCUGAUCCAGAUAAUUUGUUUACCGCAAACGUCCCGGGCUUCUCCCUGGUCUCCCAGCUCCCACGCUCCCCCUACCACCCCUCCCCACAACUGUAGCCAGAGAAAUCCUAUCAGAUCCGUCAGGUCCUGUCCCUCCUCUCUCAGACCCUCCAGGAACUUCCCACCCCUCUCUGAGUGAAAGCCCAAGACCCUACACCCCCUGCAAGGCUGCUGUAGAUCCCUGGCUGGCCCGCUCCCUGACCCCCUGCCUUGCCUCUCUGUCCAUCUUCACUCUGCCCCUGCCACUCUGGCCUCAGUGCUCCUCAGGUAGGAAUGAGCUGUUUGCACGAGCUGGGCCUUUGCAUGAGCUCUUCCCCAGGAAUCCCGUGGCUCCCGGCCCUGCUCUUUCGGGUGCCCUUCACGAGUCAGGCCGAGCCGAGCAGAACAGUGAGCCUGGGCUGGGACCCCGAUGACUCAGCGGAGCCCCUGCCAGCCAUGGCCCUCUUGCUCCAGGAUUCUCCUUGACUGGAGGAGGAGUCACGUGGCCACCGCCACAGGAGACCAGAAGUGCAGCCCUGUGUGUGCCCCGGGGGACGGCGCCGUUGACUUCCAGAGAUUCCUUGGAAACCAGAACUUGAUGACAAAAUGGGAAAGAAGAAAAUCACUGGGCUGAAAGAGAGGAGCCAGAAGACUCUUUAGAGGUCGUUGGACUGCAUGGAGAUCAAACCAAUCAAUCCUAAAGGAGAUCAACCCUGAAUGUUCAUUGCAAAGACUGUUCCUGAAGCUGAAACUCCAAUGCUUUGGCCACCCGAUGCCAAGAGCCGACUCAUUGGAAAAGACGCUUUUGCUGGGAGAGAUUGAAGGCAAAAGAAGAUGGCGGUGGAGGAUGAGAUGGUUAGAUAGCAUCACCGACUCAAUGGACAAGAAUUUGAGCAAACUCCAGGAAAUAGUGGAUGACAGAGGAGCCUGGCAUGCUGCAGUCCAUGGGGUCGCAGAGUCGGAGCAUCUCUGCACAUGGCCCUCCGCCGCCAUCUUGGAUUGAGUAUCGUGGGUGGUGCUCCCGCACACCAUGGGGCUGGGGUGCCCACGCAGCCCUUUCCUACCGGGAGCUCUGGUCUGAAGGGCGAGUUGUGAGGCAUCCUGUGAGCAAGCAAAACCAGAUGAAGCACCAAGGAAAAGAAAAAGG